CCCCCAACCCUUGACCCCCCCCCCACCCCCACAGGCAAGGGGAGCAGGCAUCAGGCACGCCCCUUAGCAGCCCAAGACGCCUUGCCCGGCCACACCCCCACGGGUAUUCAGCAGUAAUUAACAUUAAGCAAUAAGUGUAAACUUGACUUAGCCAUAGCAAUAUCCAAGGGCCGGCAAAUCUUGUGCCAGCCGCCGCGGUCACACAAGAGGCCCAAAUUAACAGAAAUUCGGCGUAAAGAGUGGUUACAUGCUAUCUCCACAACUAGGGCCAAAAUACAGCUGAGCUGUCAUAAGCUUAAACUGCACCUAAGACCCCCCUCAAGAUGACCCUAGCACACACGAUCCAUUAAACCCCACCAAAGCUAGGGCCCAAACUGGGAUUAGAUACCCCACUAUGCCUAGCCCUAAAUCUUGGCACUUCCCCUACUAAAGUGCCCGCCCGAGAACUACGAGCGCAAACGCUUAAAACUCUAAGGACUUGGCGGUGCCCCAAACCCACCUAGAGGAGCCUGUUCUAUAAUCGAUAACCCACGAUUCACCCGACCGCCCCUUGCCAAAACAGCCUACAUACCGCCGUCGUCAGCCCACCUUCGUGAAAGAACAACAGUGAGCGCAAUAGCCCCACCCGCUAAUAAGACAGGUCAAGGNAUAGCUCAUGGAGCGGAAGAAAUGGGCUACAUUUUCUGAAACAGAAAACUUAACGAAAGGGGACGUGAAACCGUCCCCGAAAGGCGGAUUUAGCAGUAAAGCGGGACAAUAGAGCCCCCUUUAAACCGGCCCUGAGGCACGUACAUACCGCCCGUCACCCUCCUCACAAGCCACAAAUACCCCAUAACUAAUACCCCUGCCGGCCAAAGAUGAGGUAAGUCGUAACAAGGUAAGUGUACCGGAAGGUGCACUUAGCCCAUC
rnacentral:ncRNA from 1 species